rnacentral:rRNA from 1 species
UACAGAGGUCUCAAGCGUUGUUCGGAUUCAUUGGGCGUAAAGGGUGCGUAGGCGGCGCGGUAAGUCGGGUGUGAAAUCUCGGGGCUUAACUCCGAAACUGCAUUCGAUACUGCCGUGCUUGAGGACUGGAGAGGAGACUGGAAUUUACGGUGUAGCGGUGAAAUGCGUAGAUAUCGUAAGGAAGACCAGUGGCGAAGGCGGGUCUCUGGACAGUUCCUGACGCUGAGACACGAAAGCGUGGGUAGCAAACAGG